CGGUCUUCAGUGUGAGUGCAAAAGUAAACAAGUAGAAGUAAUCCCCAUUCACGGUCAAGGCUUUGAAAUGCAAUAUAAAACAAAAACUAAAAACCAUGGAGAGGAGUAGCUGACGGACGACUGUGACCUUCUAAGGUAAGUAUCCCUUCUUUCCUUCUCAUGAAAAAAAAGAAGAAAAUUUAUAAAGAUGAGUGGACCCAUGGACAUGACAACACACCUUGUUCUUCCAUUCAAAACAAAGAAAUGAAAUUAAAAAAAACAAUGGACCGUGAAUUCUGCAAAGCUGCACGAGAAAGAGAAAAAAAAUAUACUUCAAUCAACCAAUCCCUAUCAUUGUAGAAACCAUGUUCCAAAAAAAAAAAAAAAUUCUCCACUCCAAAACUUGUUCCAGCCGAGAGAGUAAGAGCCUAGUAAAAGUGACGGUUGGUCUCUUCUAAUGGCCAUGUGUCCUCCAAAAAAAAUGGGGUGUGGUCCACCCAAAACCCUAGGUGCCAAGUGUCAUCUACCCUAAAGUGUUUCUGAUGCUAGGGCAAAAGAUCUUUGGGCCAGGCUCUGGGCCGCAUUCCUUCUGCCUGCCACCACGUACACUCCCAUUCACACCUCCUCUGUUUGGUCGGAAGCCAUUCUGUGUCUGGCAAACAAAAGAAGGGUUUGGGCAUUGAACCCAUUUCGUUUCCAGCACCUCCACUUUCAGCCUUGCAUCCCUGACAAAUUAAAAGUUGGAAAGGAAGGACUUGGGCUCAAAUCAGAAAGGCGUUAAUUGUGCUCAGUACCUCUGGUUCUUAAUUUCUGCACCA
rnacentral:lncRNA from 1 species